rnacentral:rRNA from 1 species
CCCUUAGAUAUCUUGGAAUGCACGCGGGAUACAAUAAUUAAGAUAAUAAGUUUAUUUUAGUUAACUGUUAUCUCUUGAUAUACAUGUUAUUAAAACCUUAUCCGAAAGGAUUGGGAAAUCUCCAAAUCUUAAUUUUGACAAGGAUCGUCUCUUGUAACAGAGGCGUGAAAGAGGAAUACCUAGUAGGCGUGAGUCAACACCUCGCACCGAUUAAGUCCCUGCUUUUUGUACACACCGCCCGUCGCAUCAAGGAACAUGAUUGAAGUCAUGAAGCUUACGGAUAGUAUGAGCCCCUGUGGUUUGUCUAAAAGUAAACUGAAUGGUUUUAAUCUUACCAUGAUGAAGUCGUAACA